rnacentral:rRNA from 1 species
ACGGGAGGCAGCAGUCGGGAAUAUUGCACAAUGGGGGAAACCCUGAUGCAGUGACGCCGCGUAUAGGAAGAAGGUCUUUGGAUUGUAAACUAUUGUCGACAGGGAAGAAACAAAUGACAGUACCUGUGGAGGAAGCCCCGGCAAACUACGUGCCAGCAGCCGCGGUAAUACGUAGGGGGCGAGCGUUAUCCGGAUUUAUUGGGUGUAAAGGGUGCGUAGACGGCUUUGCAAGUUGGUUGUGAAAUCCCUGGGCUUAACCCAGGAACUGCAACCAAAACUGUAGAGCUUGAGUGCGGGAGAGGAAAGCGGAAUUCCUAGUGUAGCGGUGAAAUGCGUAGAUAUUAGGAGGAACACCAGUGGCGAAGGCGGCUUUCUGGACCGUAACUGACGUUGAGGCACGAAAGUGUGGGGAGCAAACAGGAUUAGAUACCCUGGUA